GACGAACGCUGGCGGCGUGCUUAACACAUGCAAGUCGAACGGAAAGGCCCUGCUUUUGUGGGGUGCUCGAGUGGCGAACGGGUGAGUAACACGUGAGUAACCUGCCCUUGACUUUGGGAUAACUUCAGGAAACUGGGGCUAAUACCGGAUAGGAGCUCCUGCUGCAUGGUGGGGGUUGGAAAGUUUCGGCGGUUGGGGAUGGACUCGCGGCUUACCAGCUUGUUGGUGGGGUAGUGGCUUACCAAGGCUUUGACGGGUAGCCGGCCUGAGAGGGUGACCGGCCCCAUUGGGACUGGGUUACGGCCCGGACUCCUACGGGAGGCAGCGGUGGGGAAUAUGGCACAAUGGGCGGAAGCCUGAUGCAGCAACGCCGCGUGCGGGAUGACGGCCUUCGGGUUGUAAACCGCUUUCGCCUGUGACGAAGCGUGAGUGACGGUAAUGGGGAAAGAAGCACCGGCUAACUACGG
rnacentral:rRNA from 1 species